GCCAGACGAAAUGGAUCGAUUAUCACCUAACUUUUGCCAAAAAUAACCAGUUUCAUCCCCAGAUUUUUGGGGCUCCAAAGAAAAAUAACUAAUAGAUUGUUAAACACUCGUACGAGUUGGUGAGUGCAUCUUUGAAUCAUUCCUGGCAUGGCAUUUUUUCAACAUCGUUCUUCUGGCAGUGGCAUGUCGUCUUUGGAUUUUGGAUGUCCUUCUUUGGAUGUGGUUGACGUUUAAUCGUUGUCUUGAAAAAGCCGAAGGAGAAUCGAACCGGGAUCUUUCUCAUAGUGGGUACCGCACUACCCACUACACGACAUCUCCUCCCUUAUUUGAUUUGAACUUUCUCAAUAAUAUUUCAUCAUGCAUGUUUAUCUUAUCAAUCGUUUCAAUUAAAGUUCUAAUUCGCUUA